ensembl:lncRNA
AUAACUUCAAGGCUACCAUAUGUCACUCUGUAUAGCAAGCAGUCAAGAUAGCAACAGGUCAUUACAUCCUUCCAUUGCCAGCAGCAAGUUGGUAGAGAUAUGGACAAAAUCAUGAGAUGGACAGCUACAUUUUUAUGCCUAACAGCAUUUAUGGCAACGACAGUACUGAAAACGGCAGAUACACUCGACACAAUCCCAGCAGAUCCUACUGCCAUCCUACUAAAGGCUUCAAAAACAACUGCUCCCACAGCAACCACAUAUUUUUCCACCAAUACCACAUUUGCUCCCACAACAACACCAGUUGCUGCCACCACAAUCACAUACCCCACCGCUACCACAUCUGCCCCGACAACAAGCACAGCUGCUCCCACAACAACACCAACUGCUCCAACUACAACCAAAGAUGCUUACACAAGAAACGCACCUGUUCUGACAACAGCCACAUCUGCUGACACAGCAACCACAGCAUCUUCAACAACUACCACAACUGCUGCCACGUCAACUGCACUGACUCCAACUACAACCAUAUCUUCUCCCAUAAAAACCACCAUGAUUACUCCAAUAACAACCAUGAUUACUCCAACAACCACCACAGCUGCUCACACUACAGCCACAUCUCCAACUAUAACCUCAUCUGCUGACACUGCAACCACAUUGCCUCCAACUACACCCAGAUCUUUAACUACAACCACAGCUGCUUCAACAACAACCCUAGCUGCUCUCACAACAACCAAAACAACGACAACCUUUCCUCUGAAUAC